rnacentral:rRNA from 1 species
UACGUAGGGCGCAAGCGUUAUCCGGAAUUAUUUGGCGUAAAGAGCUCGUAGGCGGUUUGUCGCGUCUGCCGUGAAAGUCCGGGGCUCAACUCCGGAUCUGCGGUGGGUACGGGCAGACUAGAGUGAUGUAGGGGAGACUGGAAUUCCUGGUGUAGCGGUGAAAUGCGCAGAUAUCAGGAGGAACACCGAUGGCGAAGGCAGGUCUCUGGGCAUUAACUGACGCUGAGGAGCGAAAGCAUGGGGAGCGAACAGG